AAGAACUCUUGAGCUGUUUUUCUUGCUUUGUUGUUCGGCCAGAUGAGGGAGCAAGAGAGAGAAAUUGUGGUCUGAAAUGAGGCUUCCAAAGGAAGCUUAAUGACUAAGGAUUGGGUGCACAAAAGUCAACCGCAAAAAGUGCGCGCACGCGCGCGUUUUGUGCUGGAUUCCUCUCGCGUUUGUUUCACUAGUGCACUAAACCUCUAAGGCACUUAUAUUCAUAUAAAUAUUAUUCACUCUUAAUUGUCCUCAAAUAAGGGUCUAAAGUUCCUCAAUUGAAAUCGCGCGUGUGAAAACGCGUAUCUCCAAUUUAAGCGCAAUAACGCGAAACUUCCGAGAAAUUCUUAUAACGAUAGUACUAAUAACUAUCACUUGAGUAUUUAAACAUUAAAAUGCCUAAUUUAGGUCCAUUGUACAUGUCUCUAAUAUUUCAAACCUAUUGUACUCUCAAUCGAUC
rnacentral:lncRNA from 1 species